rnacentral:rRNA from 1 species
UGGGGAAUCUUGCACAAUGGAGGAAACUCUGAUGCAGCGAUGCCGCGUGAGUGGAGAAGGCCUUUGGGUUGUAAAGCUCUUUUGUAGGGGAAGAUAAUGACUGUACCCUAAGAAUAAGGUCCGGCUAACUUCGUGCCAGCAGCCGCGGUAAUACGAAGGGACCUAGCGUAGUUCGGAAUUACUGGGCGUAAAGCGCGCGUAGGCCGUUAAGUUAGUUAAUUGUGAAAUCCCAAAGCUUAACUUUGGAACUGCAAUUAAAACUGCUUGACUAGAGUUUGAUAGAGGAAAGCGGAAUACAUAGUGUAGAGGUGAAAUUCGUAGAUAUUAUGUAGAACACCAGUUGCGAAGGCGGCUUUCUGGAUCAACACUGACGCUGAGGCGCGAAAGUAUGGGUAGCAAAGAGGAUUAGAUACCCUCGUAGUCCAUACCAUAAACGAUGAUUGCUAGAUGUUGGAAAUUUAUUUUCAGUAUCGCAGCUAACGCAUUAAGCAAUCCGCCUGGGGAGUACGACCGCAAGGUUA